AGUGAACGCUGGCGGUAGGCCUAACACAUGCAAGUAGAACGGCAGCACAGUAAGAGCUUGCUCUUACGGGUGGCGAGUGGCGGACGGGUGAGGAAUACAUCGGAAUCUACUUUUUCGUGGGGGAUAACGUAGGGAAACUUACGCUAAUACCGCAUACGACCUACGGGUGAAAGCAGGGGAUCUUCGGACCUUGCGCGAUUGAAUGAGCCGAUGUCGGAUUAGCUAGUUGGCGGGGUAAAGGCCCACCAAGGCGACGAUCCGUAGCUGGUCUGAGAGGAUGAUCAGCCACCCUGGAACUGGGACACGGUCCAGACUCCUACGGGAGGCAGCAGUGGGGAAUAUUGGACAAUGGGCGCAAGCCUGAUCCAGCCAUACCGCGUGGGUGAAGAAGGCCUUCGGGUUGUAAAGCCCUUUUGUUGGGAAAGAAAAGCAGCAGGUUAAUACCCCGCUGUUCUGACGGUACCCAAAGAAUAAGCACCGGCUAACUUCGUG
rnacentral:rRNA from 1 species